GAUGAACGCUGGCGGCGUGCUUAAUACAUGCAAGUCGAACGAGGGACUUUUGUAGCAAUACGAGAGUUUCCUAGUGGCGAACGGGUGCGUAACGCGUUGGUGACCUGCCCUAAAGCGUGGGAUAACAGUUCGAAAGGAUUGCUAAUACCACAUGUGAUCAUCGGGUUUAGAAGCUGAUGAUUAAAGGAGUAAUCCACUUUAGGAGGGACCUGCGUCCCAUCAGCUAGUUGGUGAGGUAAUGGCCCACCAAGGCUACGACGGGUAGGGGACCUGAGAGGGUGGUCCCCCACAUUGGCACUGAAACACGGGCCAAACACCUACGGGUGGCUG
rnacentral:rRNA from 1 species